UGGGGAAUUGUUCACAAUGGGCGCAAGCCUGAUGACGCAACGCCGCGUGGGGGAUGAAGGUCUUCGGAUCGUAAACCCCUGUCGAAUGGGACGAAUAGCCCGCGAAUUAAUACCUCGUGGGAAUGACGGUACCGUUAAAGGAAGCCACGGCUAACUCUGUGCCAGCAGCCGCGGUAAUACAGAGGUGGCAAGCGUUGUUCGGAAUUACUGGGCGUAAAGGGCGCGUAGGCGGCCAUCUAAGUCAGACAUGAAAUCCCCCGGCUCAACCUGGGAACUGCGUCUGAUACUGGGAGGCUAGAGUUUGGGAGAGGGAUGUAGAAUUCCAGGUGUAGCGGUGAAAUGCGUAGAUAUCUGGAGGAAUACCGGUGGCGAAGGCGGCAUCCUGGACCAAUACUGACGCUGAGGCGCGAAAGCUAGGGGAGCAAACGGGAUUAGAUACCCCCGUAGUCCCUGAGCGGGCUGGCAAGGCGCAU
rnacentral:rRNA from 1 species